UAUCAAUAUUUUAUUUAGUUUGUGUGUUAGCUUUAUAUUGUGGCUGUAACAAAUUAAGAUUAUAAAACAACACAAAUUUAUUAUUUUACAGUUCUCAAGUCAGAGGUCUAACAGGGUUCACUGAGUUAAAAUCAGGGCAUUGGCAAAGCUACAUUCCUUUCUGUAGGCUCUGGGAAGGAUCUAGUCCUUGCCUUUUGUAGCUUCUAGAGGCCACCUGCAUCCCUUGGCUUGUAGCUCCCUUCCUCCAUCUUCAAAGUUACAACGCCAAGUUAAGUCGCAUCUCUCUGGAGUUGUACAGUCGCAUCUCCCUUUGAGUCUCUUCUGCCUUCUUCUUCUGUAUUUAAGGGCUCUUGUGAUUAGUAAAAUUUGAUCAUUUUAAAAUCAGUUGAUUAGCAACCUUAAUUCCAUCUGCUACCUUAAUUCCCUUUGGCCAUGUAACAUAUUCAUAGGUUCCAGGUUUGGAACAUAAACAUUUCUAGGAGGCCACUAUUC
rnacentral:lncRNA from 10 species